GGUUGUAUAACGCAAUGGUAACGCGUUUGCUUUUGUAGCAAAAAGUUCCGGGUUUAACUUCCGGUGCAACCG
rfam:Gaeumannomyces graminis var. tritici R3-111a-1 unplaced genomic scaffold supercont2.2, whole genome shotgun sequence.